rnacentral:rRNA from 1 species
AAGGAAUAUUGGUCAAUGGGCGCAAGCCUGAACCAGCCAUGCCGCGUGCAGGAAGACGGCCCUAUGGGUUGUAAACUGCUUUUGUCAGGGAAUAAACCCCCGUACGUGUACGGGGCUGAAGGUACCUGAAGAAUAAGCAUCGGCUAACUCCGUGCCAGCAGCCGCGGUAAUACGGAGGAUGCAAGCGUUAUCCGGAUUCAUUGGGUUUAAAGGGUGCGCAGGCGGAUUGAUAAGUCAGGGGUGAAAUCCCACAGCUCAACUGUGGAACUGCCUUUGAUACUGUUAGUCUUGAGUAUAGUUGAAGUGGGCGGAAUGUGUCAUGUAGCGGUGAAAUGCUUAGAUAUGACACAGAACACCGAUCGCGAAGGCAGCUCACUGGAGUGUAACUGACGCUGAUGCUCGAAAGUGUGGGUAUCAAACA